rnacentral:lncRNA from 1 species
UUUGAAAGGUUGUAUGGCUGGGACUGGGGGGCAGUUCAGCCAGCCUCCUAACCAAGGAGGCCAGAACUACCUACUUCUGGUUCACCUAUAAAGCCUAUUAUACCUGGAUUAUUUGCUAAAUUCUUAGAGAUCUACCUCCUCUGACCUUUCAAAGACAGCUUGGGCAACCACUGCCAAACAGACUGGACGAAUUGCACCAUGCCAGAACACCAAACCAGGGUAUUAGCAAGAGCAGGAUACAGUUGUCCUACCUUCCUCCUAGAAAAUUGAGGCCCCUGAGGUCCGGGGCCAAUAUUCCUUUCUUCUCUGUAGUCCCAGCACCCCUAGGUCAAUAUGGCAGUAUUUGUCAGGAACCAACUCUUUGCCGAGUGCUAUGCUAGGUGCAUGGAGAACGAGGGGCUCACUGUUGUGACUUUGGGGAAUUUAAAGUUUUGUGGAUGACAUUACAAUCUUGCAGGGGACAAACAAGGGUGCUGAUGGUGCAUGACCUCUUAGGAAGUAAAUUAAAUGUCCUCUUUUUAAACACAGCCAUUUAGUCACAAAAGAAAGCUUCAUUUGAAACCAGUCCCUCUCUGUCCUUUCUCUGCUGGGUAAUCUAAUUUGAAUGCAAGGAAGUCUGGCAGUUGCAAAUGCUAGCUGGCAAUAGAAGCGCAUUUUCAUUGACUUCCUGGGAUUCUUUGCCUCCCUCAAAUAUUUUGGAUACAGAGAACAUGGCACAGAUUCUUCAGUCGGUGCUAAUGAUGAGAGAACUGCAUAAUGGAGAGUGUGCCUCAUCCAGACAGAGAGAAGUCGUGCGGAUGAAUGCAGCCCGCCCAAAAUGGAGGCUGCUUCCAAGAAUGCCAGGCUGGCGACCACGAGUGGCAAAGACUGUGGCAACCAGUGUCGUAGCGCCAAAGUCGGCAGAGUCUGCCAAUUGAAGACAAUUAGCAAGUGCGACUUCUCAAUUGUGUUGACAGAUGAGGGAGAAAAAUCAAAUAGAUGUGAGAGCUGUGUUUAUCCUGCUGCAGUGUUUUGCAAUAUUAUGUCUAUUGAUUUGCUUUUUGUCCCUGAGUUAUUGGGUAUCAUCACCAACAUAUGCUGUUCCCAGCCUGUCUUCUGUUCCAGC